rnacentral:rRNA from 1 species
GAUCGCCAGAGCUGAGUAUAGGGGCGAAAGACCAAUCGGAACUAUCUAGUAGCUUGGUUCCCUCCCGAAGUUUCCCUCAGGAUAGCUGGCACUCGCAUCGAACGAGUUCCAUCCCGGUAAAGCGAAUGACUAGGGGUGUUGGGGACGAAAUGUCCUCAGCCCAUUCUCAAACUUUAAAUGGGUGAGGUGCCGGGCUUGCUUCGCUGAAGCCCCGGACGAGAAUCGGAGUGCCUAGUGGGCCAAUUUUGGUAAGCAGAACUGGCGCUGUGGGAUGAACCAAACGUCGAGUUAAGGGGCCUAAAUGGAUGCUAAUUCCGAUC